rnacentral:rRNA from 1 species
CCAAUAGCGUAUAUUAAAGUUGUUGCAGUUAAAAAGCUCGUAGUUGAAUUUCGGGAUCAAUAUUUCGUUCAUGCCGUUGGUAUGCACUGUUAUCAUUGAUUUCUCACCUUCUAAAGAACCGUAAUGCCAUUAAUUUGGUGUUACGGGGAAUUAGGACUGUUACCUUGAAAAAAUUAGAGUGUUUAAAGCAGGCUCACGCUUGAAUACAUUAGCAUGGAAUAAUGAAAUAGGACAUCCGAUUCUAUUUUGUUGGUUUCUAGGAUCGAUGUAAUGAUUAAUAGGGAUAGUUGGGGGCAUUAGUAUUCAAUUGUCAGAGGUGAAAUUCUUGGAUUUAUUGAAGACUAACUACUGCGAAAGCAUUUGCCAAGGAUGUUUUCAUUAAUCAAGAACGACAGUUAGGGGAUCGAAGACGAUCAGAUACCGUCGUAGUCUUAACCAUAAAAUAUGCCGACUAGGGAGCGGAUGAUGUUGAUUUUUUAAUGACUCAUUCGGCGCCUUACG